UACGGGGGGGGCAAGCGUUGUUCGGAAUUACCGGGCGUAAAGGGUUUGUAGGUGGCUUGCUAAGUCAGACGUGAAAUCCCUCAGCUUAACUGGGGAACUGCGUCUGAUACUGGAUGGCUUGAGAUUGGGAGAAGGAUGCGGAAUUCCAGGUGUAGCGGUGAAAUGCGUAGAUAUCUGGAGGAACACCGGUGGCGAAGGCGGCAUCCUGGACCAACACUGACACUGAGGAGCGAAAGCCAGGGGAGCAAACGGG
rnacentral:rRNA from 1 species